AUGAGAUAUUGGCAAAAUCUCUAGAGCACUCAUGAAAGAAUCCAGGCACGCGCACGGCCUAUUCGCGCAACACAGCGGCAACGGCAAGAAAUGUGGGGUGUAAUGCGAUUGGUAGACCACUAACAUACGGUAAGUUUCAUUGGUUCAUAUAGCUUGCUACACUAAUGUUACUAUGUGUUAAGUACUAUCAGUCUAGGGCUGGUUCAUAUAGCUUGCUACACCAGUUUGAUGCAUUACAUCAAUGAUGUUAAUCCAGGAAAUGAUUUUUUGAGUAUUCUUUUAUACUUUAAAAUANN
rnacentral:lncRNA from 1 species